rnacentral:rRNA from 1 species
UACGGGGGGAGCAAGCGUUGUUCGGAUUUACUGGGCGUAAAGGGCGCGUAGGCGGUCAGCACAAGUCAGUUGUGAAAUCUCCGGGCUUAACCCGGAAAGGUCAACUGAUACUGUGCGACUAGAGUGCGGAAGGGGCAACUGGAAUUCUCGGUGUAGCGGUGAAAUGCGUAGAUAUCAAGAGGAACACCUGAGGUGAAGACGGGUUGCUGGGCUGACACUGACGCUGAGGCGCGAAAGCGUGGGUAGCAGACAGG